CAGCUACUGUUAAGAAUGGUACGGAGCACACCUUGAUUUUGCGGGUAUGGACAUACACUGCCACUGCUCACAGAGCUAAAGGAAUUUUGCGAGGCACAUGGCAACAUGCAUCAGUCCACAUGCUAAAAAUGCUCAGGAAAACUGUUACUGCACGUGUGCAGCAAACCGAAUUCCAGAUUAAAUUCUCAGUUAUCGUUUGCUUCUCUCCGAAUACCAAUGCUGCCUUCUUGCCGUAAGCACUUCGCCCAACUAGCAUUCCUGAAAUAACCGAGCCGACAACCAGCGGUGCCGUGAAGCCAAGACCUCGUCCGGCAAGUUUCGGAUCACGGCACACCACGGCCAAGUUCCCAGACCCAAGCAAACAGAGGUGUGCAGCGCGCACACGGACACAGCCCCCCAGACAGCUGCGGGCUGUGCGGGCCGCGCUGCCGCUCUCCCGUGCGGUACACGAGUUACAGCAGGUGAAGUGAUGGGGAAGAUGAGGUUACUGACACCAGCUGCAUUUCUCCAGCACAUUCCCGGCAGACCUAUCCAAGACACCAGUCAGGCAGGUGCCUCAGGCCCUGAUCCUGCCUAUGGAGGCUUUCUGUCUU